CCUACGGGGGUAGAAGUAGGGAAGAGUGAUCAAGGGGGGAAACCCGGAAGCAGCAACGACGCGUGGAGGAGGAAGGUUUUCGGAUUGUAAACUCCUUUUGUUAGAGAAGAUAAUGACGGUAUCUAACGAAUAAGCACCGGCUAACUCCGUGCCAGCAGCCGCGGUAAUACGGAGGGUGCAAGCGUUACUCGGAAUCACUGGGCGUAAAGAGCGCGUAGGCGGGAUAGCAAGUCAGAUGUGAAAUCCUAUGGCUUAACCAUAGAACUGCAUUUGAAACUGUUAUUCUAGAGUAUGGGAGAGGUAGGUGGAAUUCUUGGUGUAGGGGUAAAAUCCGUAGAGAUCAAGAGGAAUACUCAGUGCGAAGGCGACCUGCUAGAACAUAACUGACGCUGAUGCACGAAAGCGUGGGGAGCAAACAGGAUUAGAUACCCCGGUAGUC
rnacentral:rRNA from 1 species